CUCAGACAGCCAGGAUGUUGGCUUAGAAGCAGCCAUCAUUUAAAGAAAGCGUAAUAGCUCACUGGUCGAGUCGGCCUGCGCGGAAGAUGUAACGGGGCUAAACUAUGCACCGAAGCUGCGGCAGCGAACGUAUCACUUAAACUGAUUAAGUGAUACUCAAAUGUAUCAAAACGAUUGACGGAGCGAAGCGACGUCAAUGCGUCCAACAAAGUCGAGGCGGAAACGUCAGGCAGUCAGUUUAAGGAUACGUUCGUUGGGUAGGGGAGCGUUCUGUAAACCUGUGAAGGUGUGCUGUGAGGCAUGCUGGAGGUAUCAGAAGUGCGAAUGCUGACAUAAGUAACGAUAAUGCGGGUGAAAAACCCACACGCCGGAAGACCAAGGGUUCCUGUCCAACGUUAAUCGGGGCAGGGUGAGUCGACCCCUAAGGCGAGGCAGAAAUGCGUAGUCGAUGGGAAACGGGUUAAUAUUCCCGUACUGGUGAUAAUUGCGA
rnacentral:rRNA from 1 species